UGCGAGGAAAUUUCAGCCCUAGGGCGAGGCACUGCAUGAAGUAGGCGGGAAUAAAUAAAUUACCGGGUCAAAAUUGGAGUAUCGGGUUCCAAGGGGGAUUCAUAGGAUGAUUGGGGAUAUGACUCAAAAUCGAUCACUCGGCUAGCUGCGCGCGUCCACCUACCUUCCCCCUGCCUCUCAAGGCUUCUGGGAGUUCCGCUUUUUGGGUUGAAUGGUUCGCAAAGCUCGAGGCUAAUAUUGUCAAGAACUCCAGCCAAUAGCGGGCUAGAUCUUGCUGGGUUCGUUACUGCUGAGGGGAAGUGCCCACAUGAUUCGCUAGAUAACAAAUAAGGCAUAAG
rnacentral:sRNA from 2 species